rnacentral:tRNA from 1 species
GGGCCGUUAGCUCAAUGGCAGAGCAGCGGACUUUUAAUCCGUAGGUUCUGGGUUCGAGUCCCAGGCGGCCCA